GACGGACGUCCACCGGCGACGGACUGAGCCGUGGGCCAGAAUCGCGUAUCCAUCUGAUCCGUGGCUCAGAAAAUUCACUUUCCGUCGAAGGACGGCAGACGCGCAUUGACUGCAAGCCAUGCGGCCCCUGACUCUUCUGCCCCAGAGCCGCAGGCAUUUUCGUGAGGAAAAGAAGAGGCGACUGCCGCGCCAUGGAGUUCCUCAUGCAGCCGAUCCGCAGGUCGGGGAGAAUCUGGUGCCGGAAGGUUCGUCGGCGGAUCAUACAAGGCGAACUGUGGUGGGGGUGACGAUGCAGGAGGGCACGGUCUUGAGCGGCGACGAGCGGGUCUGCGGGGCGUCCGGAGCGGCGGCAAUGAGCGGCCAAGGGCGAAUCUGCAGCACUACGCAGGCGAUGGCCAUGAGCCGCGAAUGUCUAAUCUGCAGCGCGGCGCAGGCGGCAGUGGUGAGAAGGGACAGCUCGCCUCACACGUCUGAGCUGUCGACGGGGAAGAUAACUCCCGAGGCUCUGCUUCGAAUAAGAGGUUGCGGAUUGGUGCCGCUGGCCCAACCAGGACACCUUGGCCAACCUGUGUAGGCGCGUUUGAGAAGGCGGUGAUGGUGUUCGUGGAAAAGCCGACCGAAAAUGUUAUCACUCCGGUGCUGGGUACUACCUUCGACUCACUGGGAGAAGCAUACGAUUUCUACAACUUAUGUUCCUCGAAGAAGGGGUUUGGGAUUAGAUAUAGAAAAGCCAUGUGGAGAGAACGAAGUGCGUGCAGGAAAUUGUGCGGAUGCUUGCUGGUGUUAAGAACACAAGGUCCUGUCGGUGUGAAUGCCCAGCGCUGAUAAGGGUGUUAUGGACGAAGUACAAUGGGUGGUAUAUCGCAGAGCAUCGGGAGACUCAUAACUGAACCAUUCUCUUUCACAUAAUUUCAGCGAGACGAUCCACUGGCUGUCUCACAAGCACACUGAUGCGUACAGUACGAACCUAAUAAAACAGUGUUGCAGAAUAAUGUCAAACUUGCAAAGGUGUAUAACAUAAUAGGCAGUUUUAUUAGAUCGAUGGAAAAUGUGCCAUUCAUGAAGAGAUCUUUGCGUAAUCUAUGUGGCAAGAUUUAGGGGCGAGUGUGAGCCUGGAUACUCAUUCAGGGGCGGUUCAGAGGUUGGAGGGAGCUCAAGCCAAGGAGGGCGAGGUGUUCUUCGGCAUGUUGAAGGUGCACAUGUUUUAAAAAA